CAAAGGUUUGGUCCUGACUUUACUAUCAAUUUUAGCCUAAUUUAUACAUGCAAGUAUCCGCAUCCCUGUGAGAAUGCCCUACAGUUCCCUACUGGGGAACAAGGAGCUGGUAUCAGGCACAAUAACCUAAAGCCCACAACGCCUUGCUCAUAGCCACACCCUCAAGGGGUCCCAGCAGUAACAGACAUUAAGCAAUAAGUGAAAACUGACUUAGCCCAGGGCUAACAGGGUCGGUAAAUCUCGUGCCAGCCACCGCGGUUAUACGAGAGACCCAAAUUGAUUGACACCGGCGUAAAGAGUGGUUAUGAUUUAUUAACAGAUAGAGCCAAAUGCCCUCAAAGCUGUUAUACGCAUCCGAAGGUAAGAAGACCAACUACGAAAGUGGCUUUACAAUAUCUGACCCCACGAAAGCUGUCACACAAACUGGGAUUAGAUACCCCACUAUGCUCAGCCUUAAACUAUGAUAUGAAUUUUCCCCAACUAUCCGCCCGGGGACUACGAGCGAAAGCUUAAAACCCAAAGGACUUGGCGGUGCUUAAGAUCCCCCUAGAGGAGCCUGUUCUGGAACCGAUAACCCCCGUUCAACCUCACCCUUUCUUGCCGUUCCCGCCUAUAUACCACCGUCGUCAGCUUACCCUGUGAAGGCCUAGUAGUAAGCAAAAUUGGCACGCCCCAAAACGUCAGGUCGAGGUGUAGCGAAUGAAAGGGGAAGAAAUGGGCUACAUUCCCUAGCAAAGUGUAUACGGACAGCAUGCUGAAACGCGUACUUGAAGGAGGAUUUAGCAGUAAGCACAAAAUAGAGCGUUGUGCUGAAACUGGCCCUAAAGCGCGCACACACCGCCCGUCACUCUCCCCAAAAACAUGUUAUGAUUAAAUCACCACAAAAUACAGGGGAGGCAAGUCGUAACAUGGUAAGUGUACCGGAAGGUGUACUUGGAAAAGC
rnacentral:ncRNA from 1 species